rnacentral:rRNA from 1 species
GACGAACGCUGGCGGCGUGCUUAACACAUGCAAGUCGAACGGAAAGGCCCUGCUUUUGUGGGGUGCUCGAGUGGCGAACGGGUGAGUAACACGUGAGUAACCUGCCCUUGACUUUGGGAUAACUUCAGGAAACUGGGGCUAAUACCGGAUAGGAGCCCCUGCUGCAUGGUGGGGGUUGGAAAGUUUCGGCGGUUGGGGAUGGACUCGCGGCUUAUCAGCUUGUUGGUGGGGUAGUGGCUUACCAAGGCUUUGACGGGUAGCCGGCCUGAGAGGGUGACCGGCCACAUUGGGACUGAGAUACGGCCCAGACUCCUACGGGAGGCAGCAGUGGGGAAUAUUGCACAAUGGGCGGAAGCCUGAUGCAGCAACGCCGCGUGCGGGAUGACGGCCUUCGGGUUGUAAACCGCUUUCGCCUGUGACGAGGCGUGAGUGACGGUAAUGGGUAAAGAAGCACCGGCUAACUACGUG